CCCUGAAAACUGUAAGCUGGCAGAAGGUGUAAGCAGGUACUUAUAUGCUAUGCAAUGUAACAGCCAUGUUAUAACUCUGAGUUGCACCACCAUGCCAAGAUAAAUAAUUGAUCAUCAUCAAGAUAUGACACCAAUGAGAUAGACAGUGUGCAGCGCAUUAAAUCGACACGAAUAAAAGUUAUGUGCAAUAAAUUAUCGAUAAAACAGCCAUGAUGGGGCCACUUACUGCUAAAUUGAAGAUUCCAAGGUUGGAAAGGAACUUGUAGCAUUCUUGUGGCAAGGGGAGGGUAGGGGGAGGUUGUCGGCAACUAAAAUGUUGUCGCUGAUUCAUUGUUUAAAGAAUCAGCUUUGUUGGAUGUUUCGUUCGAAUCUAUUGGAAGAAAAAACGUGGAGUCCGUGAGAAAGUAAUUCGUCGGGAACGAAAUUUCAAGAGGAUUAAAUUCAACUUCUCACCUGCACACCCCUUGUUACGUCAUAAUCCUAUCACCGCCUCUAUAAUACUUUCAGUGUUGCCAGCAACAAAUUUUUUUUUUAUUUCGCGAAAAAUAAAAAAAAUAAACCAGUGAUGCCGAAUUAUAAAACAACAUUUUACCUAAAAAAUUUUGAUUAUGUUUUUUUUUUUUUUGUCUGGCAUCACUUUUGCCACUUACGUAUGUACGUUACACUUGAUGUAUUUACCUACCGUCUAAACAGGGAUUAACAGAAUCCUGAAGUCACUUGAUAGCCCGACAAAACUUCGCUUAAGUUUUAAAGCCCACUACUGAUGUAUCGUGAUGUAAAAACGAGAAAGACAACGAAACUUUUGCUCACAAAAAAUAUUGUUUAAAAAAAUUAGUUUUUUUCGUAAAAAAAAUGUAGACAGAUAAAAAUGCGCUACAGAACUGUACAAAACUAUUUUUGAGUUUUUUCGAAAAAGGAAUCGUAGAAUCGCAGACAACGCCCUUAUUAAUCACAUGUUGUUCUUAUAUAAGGAAAUUAUAAGCAACAUAUUUUUAAAAUAUUCGAUGUUAUUUGAAUCUGACUUUUACCGAGUCUGACCUAAAUAUCAUAUUAAUCUGUUACUUCUGCUACCAGGAGCAUGGUCUAUCAUAUUCUUUCAACGACUCGCCUGGUAUAAAAAACGUAGUGUAUUUCCGACGACUUUUUUCGAUGAACUUUUUUAAAUAAAUUUUAAAAUCAGAGAAUGUGGGAGAUCAUUUUCUCUGAUGAACUCUUGCCGGAUAGCGGACGAAACGGCGCAAAUGCACUAAAUUUUUCCUACUAUUUCAUACUAUAUCCGUAUUCUACUCUAUAUGUCGUAACGAGAAAACUUCUACCGCGAGUCACGCAAGUACAAUUGGGAUAAACGCAAAGUUUUUACCCCAAACACGUCUUUUGCAUUGUUCCCAUGCAUGGCUGUUCUAUUUUAUAUAGGCAUACCCCAAGUAUAUAAUACCCAUAACAUGCCCGUUAUAUAUAGCGACGCAGGGAUUUGGUUAGGAUUUGACCUCCUUUUCGAAAUUCCGUUUUUUUUUUUUAAUAAACCAAAAGUUCUGGUACUUAUUACACUACACGAUAAUAUGCAUAACCUGUUAAUACAACGGCACCGCACAUUUAAAAUAUCUACAUACCACCACCGCCUGUUGUUUUGGUUCUACAAGUCUGACCUUCUCAACCCGCGUGUUCAUUACACCAGAUUAUUACCUGCCUCGCGUAUCGAAACAACGUUUGAUUAUUUUGUCGUUAACUUAGCGAGAAAUUCAUCCGCGUUUACCGUUCAACCGGAGGUCGCUUUAAUAGAACAGAACACGCCGAGUACUAUGACGUUACAAUCCUUAUUGACGUAACAAUGCUGAUUGUUAACCACGAAUGAGUAUUCUGGUUAUUUACGCUCCUAAAUAUACAGGAAUUCGUGCUCGCUAGAUGGCGUUAAAGCGAGGUUAAUUAUUCCCAGCGCGUCGAGCAAUUUCGCGCUUCGUUUGUCGCAGAUCAGACGCGUUAAUUGUGAGCUCAUAAUGGCAGAUGAUUCACCUUUAUUACGUCAUCAAUAGCGGAUUGUUAAGGCGUGACGUCACAAAUGUGUCUUCGAUUUAUCGGCGACUUCUUGUUAAUUCGAAUAAAUUAAAAUAAAUCAACUUUAAAUUCGAAACUUUAAUUGGCUGAAUUGUAUUCUUAUCCAUGGUUAAAUACGAUCAACCUGAUCUGUUUAAAAACUUCUUUUAAUUGAUUAGUUUUUGCUUAUUAUAAAAACGUUUUUUACUUCUUUAUACUAAAUGGGCCGAGUAAAUGCAACUUAUUUAUCCUCGCGUGGCCGGAAA